CAUGACACUAGGGAUAGAAGGAAUAGAUGUGAUAAACAAAGGUCAUGUUUGCAAACCUACAUUUUACUAUCACACUUAAUGGUAAAAGACUUGUGUAUUUCCCCCCCAAAAUCAGGAACAAGGCAGUAUGUUCUUUUUUGCUACCUCUAUUCAAUGUUGUAUAGAAGUUAUACCCAGUAAAAUAAGGCAAGAAAAACAUAUAGGUAUCUACAUUGGAAAGGAAUAAAUAAAUCUGUCUAUUUGAAGAUGACAUGAUUAUCUACCUUGAAAAUCCUGUGGGAUCUGCAUGCAAGUUAUCAGAGCUAAUAAGUUUAACAAGGUUGUGGGAUACAAGAUCAACAUACAAAAAUCAUUUGUAUUUCUAUAUUCUAGCAACAAAUAAUUAGACAUUAAAAUUUAGAAAAUCAACAUCAUUUAUAGUAAUGUUAAAACAUGAAAUGCUUAUGGGUAAAUCUGACUAAUAUGUGAAGGACCUGUACAUUGAAAAGUACAAAAUGUUGUUGAGUAAAAUUACAGAAGUAGAUGAGAAGAUUUGGUGUUAAGAUGUCAGUUCUCCCCAAAAUGAUCUAUAGAUGACAAGGUAGACAAAUAUAUCAAUGAGACAGAAUAGAUAAUCGAUAAAUAGACUAAUCUAGAAAUAGACAAUACAUAUAUUGUCAAUUUGAGUCCGGGCGUGGUGGCUCACGCCUAUAAUCUCAAGAUUUUGGGAAGCUGAGGUAGGAGGAUCACUUGAAGCCGGGAAUUCAAGAUCAGCCUGGUCAACAUAGUGAGACCCCCCAUCUCAGAAAAGAAAAAGAAAGGAAAGAAAGGAAGAAGGAAGGAAGGAAAAGAGGGAGGAAGGGAGGGAAAGGAAGGAAAGGAAGAAAUAAGUAUAUUGUCAAUUCAUUUUCAACUAAGGUGCAGAGACAUUUCAAUGGAGAAAAAUAGUAUUUUCAACAAACGGUGCUGAAACAAUUAGAUAUCCAUCUUCAAGAAAGUAAACUUAUACAUACCUUGCACCAAAUAUAAAAAGUAAUUUGAAAUAAAGCAUAGACCUAAAUGUAAAACCUAAAACUAUAUAAAACUUCUAGAAGAGGCUGGGCGUGGUGGCUCAUGCCUGUAAUCCCAGC
rnacentral:lncRNA from 1 species